GAUGAACGCUGGCGGCGUGCCUAAUACAUGCAAGUCGAGCGAACAGACGAGGAGCUUGCUCCUCUGACGUUAGCGGCGGACGGGUGAGUCACACGUGGAUAACCUACCUAUAAGACUGGGAUAACUUCGGGAAACCGGAGCUAAUACCGGAUAAUAUAUUGAACCGCAUGGUUCAAUAGUGAAAGACGGUUUUGCUGUCACUUAUAGAUGGAUCCGCGCCGCAUUAGCUAGUUGGUAAGGUAACGGCUUACCAAGGCAACGAUGCGUAGCCGACCUGAGAGGGUGACCAGCCACACUGGAACUGAGACACGGUCCAGACUCCUACGGGAGGCAGCAGUAGGGAAUUUUCCGCAAUGGGCGAAAGCCUGACGGAGCAACGCCGCGUGAGUGAUGAAGGUCUUCGGAUCGUAAAACUCUGUUAUUAGGGAAGAACAAAUGUGUAAGUAACUAUGCGCGUCUUGACGGUACCUAAUCAGAAAGCCACGGCUAACUACGUG
rnacentral:rRNA from 1 species